rnacentral:rRNA from 1 species
GACGAACGCUGGCGGCGUGCUUAACACAUGCAAGUCGAACGGAAAGGCCCUGCUUUUGUGGGGUGCUCGAGUGGCGAACGGGUGAGUAACACGUGAGUAACCUGCCCUUGACUUUGGGAUAACUUCAGGAAACUGGGGCUAAUACCGGAUAGGAGCUCCUGCUGCAUGGGGGGGGUUGGAAAGUUUCGGCGGUUGGGGAUGGACUCGCGGCUUAUCAGCUUGUUGGUGGGGUAGUGGCUUACCAAGGCUUUGACGGGUAGCCGGCCUGAGAGGGUGACCGGCCACAUUGGGACUGAGAUACGGCCCAGACUCCUACGGGCGGCAGCAGUGGGGAAUAUUGCACAAUGGGCGGGAGCCUGAUGCAGCAACGCCGCGUGCGGGAUGACGGCCUUCGGGUUGUAAACCGCUUUCGCCUGUGACGAAGCGUGAGUGACGGUAAUGGGUAAAGAAGCACCGGCUAACUACGUG